rnacentral:lncRNA from 1 species
UUGAAACUUUGAAAUAACAGCAGAGGGCAAGAAGCAUACUUCUAGAAAAGAGUCGUAUCCUAUCAAAAGACAAACCAGGUAUAUCGCAGUGCAAACCGCAACCACCACAGACGUAAGAAACGGCAUGCCUUCCCACCAUUGCUUGAAUCUUGUAGGCAAACCUGCCUACAAUGUUUGAUCUCAUCGUUUGCUGCAAUUUGGUUAGAGGAAACUGGAAAUCAGUAGUCGUUAUUUGUUUGUUUGGU